rnacentral:rRNA from 1 species
CAUUACCGAGUUGAUUCGAGCUCCGGCUCGACUCUCCCACCCAAUGUGUACCUACCUCUGUUGCUUUGGCGGGCCGCGGUCCUCCGCACCGGCGCCCUUCGGGGGGCUGGCCAGCGCCCGCCAGAGGACCAUAAAACUCCAGUCAGUGAACUUCGCAAUCUGAAAAACAAGUUAAUAAACUAAAACUUUCAACAACGGAUCUCUUGGUUCUGGCAUCGAUGAACAACGCAGCGAAAUGCGAUAAGUAAUGUGAAUUGCAGAAUUCAGUGAAUCAUCGAAUCUUUGACGCACAUUGCGCCCCUUGGUAUUCCGAGGGGCAUGCCUGUUCGAGCGUCAUUUCAACCCUCAAGCUCUGCUUGGUAUUGGGCCCCGUCCUCCACGGACGCGCCUUAAAGACCUCGGCGGUGGCGUCUUGCCUCAAGCGUAGUAGAAAACACCUCGCUUUGGAGCGCACGGCGUCGCCCGCCGGACGAACCUUUGAAUUAUUUCUCAAGGUUGACCUCGGAUCAGGUAGGGAUACCCGCUGAACUUAAGCAUAUCAAUAAGCGGAGGAA